rnacentral:tRNA from 1 species
UGGGGAAUUGUGUAAAGGUAGCACGAAUGGCUCUGAACCAUUUAGUCGGGGUUCGAAUCCCUGUUCCCCAG